rnacentral:rRNA from 1 species
GGAAUAUUGGGCAAUGGGCGCAAGCCUGACCCAGCGACGCCGCGUGGGUGAUGAAGGCCCUUGGGUCGUAAAACCCUGUCAUGCGGGAAGAAAGAGCCAAGCUCGAACAGGGCUUGGUUCUGACGGUGCCGCAGGAGGAAGCCCCGGCUAACUCCGUGCCCGCAGCCGCGGUAAUACGGAGGGGGCGAGCGUUAUUCGGAAUUAUUGGGCGUAAAGGGCAGGUAGGCGGCCUUAUAUGUCCCUUGUGAAAGCCCUCGGCUCAACCGAGGAAUUGCAGGGGAAACUGUGAGGCUUGAGUCCGGGAGAGGGUAGCGGAAUUCCCAGUGUAGCGGUGAAAUGCGUAGAUAUUGGGAGGAACACCAGUGGCGAAGGCGGCUACCUGGACCGGUACUGACGCUGAUCUGCGAAAGCUAGGGGAGCAAAC